GUUUGUUACAUAAUUUUGAUAUCAAAAUGACAAACAUUUUUUUUGUGAAUACAGUUGAUGAAUGAUCCUUUUAUUUCUGACAUUGUAAACAAUCUAAUUGAAUCUAUGUGUCAUCUAUGUUAUUUCAAGUUAAAUGGAGACAUUCCAAAGGAGUAAUAUUUCAUGAAAAUAAAACAUACUAUUAUAGCUGAAUAUCAUCUUACUUAUAAACUAAGUUAUCUUACGUAUUAAUUUUUGGGUAUCAAUUACAUUCAUACUCCUCAGAUGAUGUAAACUAGAGAACAUUUGGCUGACAAAUACCCAAAUAUUGGAAAGCUUGUGGUAUACAUUUAUUUUGAAAACAGCAAAAUAAACGCGUGGAACAACUUCAGAUUCACAACCUAUGUAUAACAUCUAUUAUAUGUAUGUAUAAGGGCCAAAUUACAGUAAUUGUGUACGAGGACUAAUUAUAAGCCAGGCCAACUCUCUUCAAGACUAGACCAGUUUUUUGCAUCAGACAAUAUUAUUUUCCACUGUUGUCGAUAAACGCAUAGGUAAUAUGUAGAUACCUACUCACUACUCAGUUUCACGCGCGGUUAUCUCUGAAUCAAAAACCAGCAUCGGAUAGAGUUAAAACAAAUUGAGUCGUCUAAAAGAAGAAAAAAAUGAGAAUUCCGACCAUACGCAUACAAGACAAUUUUUCAAAUCGAUUGUAAUUAGUAAGUAGUCAUCGUGUCGAUCGUAUGGAUAGAUAAAUAACGUUUACAAUAGAGCGAACGACGCCGCUGAAUGAACAGGACGACAUGGUGAAUACCAGACGAUUUCUUCCGAAACACAGUACUGAUCCUUAUCAUAAUAUUAACAGUGAUUGGGUGUAUGCAAAUGAGCUCUUGUCUUGACCGUUAUGUUUUAAUGUGCAGAGACUAGACUUUUGAGCGUC